GUGCUCAGCUUCGGCAGCACAUAUACUAAAAUUGGAACGAUACAGAGAAGAUUAGCAUGGCCCCUGCACAAGGAUGCCAUGCAAAUUCGUGAAGUGUUCCAUAUUUUA
rnacentral:snRNA from 1 species